AGUAGAAUUGCUGGGUCAUAUGGUAAGUUUAUGUUUAUCUUUUUAAGAAACUUCCAAAUUGUUUUCUUAAGUGGCUUUACCAUUUACGUUCCCACCAGCAGU
rnacentral:pre_miRNA from 1 species